rnacentral:rRNA from 1 species
UACGUAGGGUGCGAGCGUUGUCCGGAAUUAUUGGGCGUAAAGAGCUCGUAGGCGGCUUGUCGCGUCGGCUGUGAAAACCCGGGGCGUCAACCCCGGGCCUGCAGUCGAUACGGGCAGGCUAGAGUCCGGUAGGGGAGACUGGAAUUCCUGGUGUAGCGGUGAAAUGCGCAGAUAUCAGGAGGAACACCGGUGGCGAAGGCGGGUCUCUGGACAGUUCCUGACACUGAGGCACGAAGGCCAGGGGGAGCAAAACGGG